rnacentral:rRNA from 1 species
CCUACGGGUGGCAGCAGUGAGGAAUAUUGGUCAAUGGACGAAAGUCUGAACCAGCCAAGUAGCGUGAGGGAUGACUGCCCUAUGGGUUGUAAACUUCUUUUAUAUGGGAAUAAAAUGUUCCACGUGUGGGAUUUUGUAUGUACCAUAUGAAUAAGGAUCGGCUAACUCCGUGCCAGCAGCCGCGGUAAUACGGAGGAUCCGAGCGUUAUCCGGAUUUAUUGGGUGUAAAGGGAGCGUAGGGGGAUUGUUAAGUCAGUUGUGAAAGGUGGCGGCGCAACCGUAAAAUUGCAGUUGAAACUGGCAGUCUUGAGUACAGUAGAGGUGUGCGGAAUGCGUGGUGUAGCGGUGAAAUGCUUAGAUAUCACGAAGAACUCCGAUUGCGAAGGCAGCUUACUGGACUGCAACUGACACUGAGGCACGAAAGUGUGGGUAUCAAACAGGAUUAGAUACCCGUGUAGUC